rnacentral:lncRNA from 1 species
CCGGAAUUGGGUACUUGUUUGGGAGUUUAUCGCCGGUGAUUAAGAGCUCACUCAACUAUAAUCAGAGGCAGAUUGCAAGGUUGGGUGUGGCUAAGGAUAUCGGAGACAGUGUUGGGUUUUGGAUUGGGAGCUUGUGUGAGAUUUUGCCUCUGUGGGUUGCUCUGCUCAUUGGUGCUUUGCAGAAUUUAAUUGGGUAUGGGUGGGUUUGGUUGAUUAUCACUCAUCGAGUUCCAACUCUGCCCUUGUGGGCUGUGAGUAUCGCUUAUCAAAUACUUUUCCCUUUCCUCUCCCCUUUCCAUUUCACGUGAACCAUCGCCUAAAGUAGCUGUGCUUUUUUGUUUCUUCUUUCUUUUGGUUUUUGUUUGAUGUCAGUUUUUUUAUUUUGUCUGGUUUUCUUUUAGUUACUCAUAAUGAUCUGGGUCUUUUUGUUAUACUUUGGAAGAUGUACUGGGUAUCUCAAACCAAGUGAAAAUGAUCACAUAAACUGGAGACCUUGUUUUCUUUCUUCCUUUAUAGAUUUCCGGAGCAUAGUUCAAUCUUUUUUUUUUGUUUGUUUGAUUAGAGCAGUCCUCAAUUUAAUUUGUAAAUCGGAUAAUCUCUUGCAAGAAUAAUUUUUAUUCUCAACCUUUCGGCAUAGUUUCUGGAUUUUAACGUCCGGAGUCCUGCGACUGAUGGUGGGCUGUUUUAUUGUAUUGUCCUUGAUUGAGCAAAGGAGUUAAUUUUAUUAUUUUUUAUAUUCAAUCUUUUUUGGAUUAGACGAUUCUUUGGUUGUAUUUGUGAAAUUUGAUUAACGGUCCAAAUUAGAGUAGGGGGUUUCUAUUUUAUUUUAUUUCUCUGAUUUUGCUUUCUAUCAUAGUUAGUCCUUUCCAUUUGAGUCGAGAUUUGCAUUUCUGCUGGUGAAACAGCAUCAUCCUUCUGUGCAUGAAAUAAGAAAUUAUAUUGAAGAUGGUUAAUAAAUAGGUUUGGCAGAUGUUUAUGCUUUAGAUAUCCAACAGUCUAAGGGCGAAGGUGAUUCUGACUGAUUUCAGAUGUCGGAAUUAGUUGUUCUACUGGGCUCCAAUACUCCCUUGGGGUUUGUCAUAAAUCAAUAGAUCUUCAAAACUUUCAACAAUGUGGUUGAAAAGUUUGGCUUUGCAAAUACAUGAAUCACAUUUUACCUUUGAAACGGUUCUAUCCUCGUUUUUUCUCAUUACAGUUCUGGAGUCAGAUAUUUGUUCCUUUUGUUUUGUAUUUCCUAAUACACUAGACUAACUCCUAAUGCAAUUUAUUAUGCAGUUCCAACUUGUCUUCCUAUGGGCAUUAAUAAUUGGCUGAGCUGUAGUUAUCAUCUGAGUCAUGCACCAAAAAGCUUCUGAAACUUUGUAUUCUAGACAAUUUUAGAUUUAAGCUGGUCAGAUGGAUCCUUAAAAGUAAUAUGCUAAAUUUGACAACUUGUAGAGGGUUGAUUAUUACAUGUGUAGCUCACCCACAAAAAUGCAAUCCAAAAAAGAAAAAAAAUCUGAUCCUUGUGUCUAGAUGUCUGUUUCUAUUAUUGCAUAGACGACAUAUAUAUGUUAUAAUGAUGGAGUCUGCAAUGCAGUUGGAUGAUGAACAUCUAUUACAAUAUUGAAAUUUGAGACAAUUAUAUAGAAGUUUGAUUUUUAGAGUCAUGUGCUCUAAUCAGAGAUAACUUAGGAUACUUUUUAAUCUUGCAUCCCUUCUUGCUGUGGUUAAAUUGUUAAUGGAUAUCAGUAUGCAGAUAUGCAUUCUUAUAUUUGUGGGAACAAAUGGUGAGACCUACUUCAAUACGGUGGAUCUGGUUUCCUGUGUGCAAAAUUUCCCAAAGAGCCGGGGGCCCGUGGUUGGAAUAUUAAAAGGCUUUUCUGGGUUGAGUGGCGCCAUUCUGACGCAGAUAUAUACCAUGAUCCAUUCCCCUGAUCACGCAUCCCUCGUAUUCAUGGUUGCAGUGGGUCCAACAAUGGUAGUUUUUGCUCUAAUGUUCAUUGUUAGACCUGUUGGAGGUCACAGACAAGUCCGGCCAACUGAUGACUUAAGUUUCACAUUCAUCUAUGGUGUCUGCCUCGUUUUGGCUGCUUAUUUGAUGGGGGUCAUGCUUCUUCAAGACCUAGUUGACUUAAGCCACACAGUGGUCACAAUUUUUACAGCAAUUUUGUUUGUCCUCGUUUUGGUACCAAUUGUGAUUCCUGUGUCAUUGAGUUUUCCCUCAGAGCCAAAAGCUCCUGAACUAGAGGCUCUUCUAACAGAGCCACAGAAAGAAGAACCUGGCAAGUCCGAACAGGAUGCAACUGAGGUUAUAUUUAGUGAGUUGGAAGAUGAGAAGCCUAAGGAAGUAGACUUGCUUCCAGCAUCAGAAAGGCAAAAACGAAUUGCCCAUUUGCAAGCAAAACUGUUCCAAGCAGCUGCAGAAGGAGCUGUGAGGGUCAAGAGGAGGAGGGGGCCACGUAGAGGGGAGGACUUUACCCUGAUGCAGGCUUUGAUUAAGGCGGACUUUUGGCUUAUCUUUUUCUCACUUCUAUUGGGUUCUGGAUCUGGUUUGACAGUGAUUGAUAAUUUGGGACAGAUGAGCCAGUCUUUAGGAUAUGAUAAUACACAUAUAUUUGUAUCCAUGAUCAGCAUUUGGAAUUUUCUUGGUCGAAUUGGUGGAGGUUACUUCUCUGAGAUGAUAGUCAGGUAUAAACUUGCUUCAUUUCCAUUGGGUUUCCAGAUUUGGUUUUGAUUUUGGUUUGUGCUCAUUUUUCUUAUCCGAUCUUGUGAUAUUUGUUGAGUAGGGACUAUGCUUACCCACGGCCAGUGGCCAUGGCAGUGGCCCAAGUUACAAUGGCACUUGGACACUUAUUCUUUGCUAUGGGAUGGCCCGGGUCACUGUACAUUGGUACUCUAUUGAUUGGGCUUGGUUAUGGAGCCCACUGGGCAAUUGUGCCAGCUGCUGCCUCUGAGUUGUUUGGCUUGAAGAACUUUGGGGCUUUAUACAAUUUUAUCAAUCUUGCAAAUCCUACAGGUUCACUAGUGUUUUCUGGUGUCAUUGCUAGCAGUAUCUAUGAUCGUGAAGCGGAGAAACAAGCUCAUCACCACCAUCACCAGCAGCAGAACAUGGGAUCAAUUUUCUCUGGCAUGCUUAGUGUGGAUGACCCUCCAAAAUGUGAAGGUUCCAUAUGCUUCUUUCUCACUUCUAUGAUAAUGUCUGGUAUCUGCAUUAUAGCAGUUGUUUUAAGCAUGGUACUCGUACAUCGGACAAAGGUCGUCUAUGCCAACCUCUAUGGAAAAUCACGUACUUGACUCAUGGCAAGAGUAGCAAAAGGGGCAUUGUGAGUAUAGUGUUUGUCCAAUUUAUGUUGAUGUUCUGUAUACUUCAUCCGAGCUCAUGGAGAAGUUGCUCAUUUUUAACCCAUGUUUCUGAAAGUAUUUAUUGAGGGAGAGAUGGUAAAGCUUAGCAAUUCUCCAGAACACACGACUCCAGAGGGGGAAGCAGAUGGAAUUUAGACACUGCUAUUUUCAGGUGUUCCACAACGUUUGCUAUAAUGUAUUGGAGUCACGCAUGGUUCUAUUUUGUAUGUUAAGGUUGUGUAUUUCUUUUCAUUCUAGUUUGGACAUUUAUUUGGUGUGGAAGUAUCAAAUUUGUUCCCUAAAAGUUCUUUCCUACGGCUGUUGUUGGGACUUUUUGAGGAGGAUGUGCUUACUAUUUUUUCAUUCAUUAUUUAACACUGAAUUUCUUUAUUUGCUUACAUUUUGAGAAAAGUUACAGAAUUUUAGUUGUAAAGCAAGCAUCAUCUGGCAGGCUAUAUGACCAUCAUGAUUAUCUAGUCUAUGAAAAGAAUUGCAAAACUUUAAUGUCGUAGGUCUUGUUAUGAAGACUGAACAUUUCAAGGAUGAAAGAGAGUCCGCUUACACAGGCGAUCAGAAAACAGAGUACAUGCAGGGGAUAUCAGGAAACUGGAAAAUGAGGAAUUCGUUACAGAACUUGUUGCUGAGACAUUGCCUUCAUGAUUGAAGGCUGUGCAAUCCGUCCUAAUUUCUCCUUGGUCACCAGUUUUGAUGCCAACACUCCCAAGCUUCCUCAUUGCUGUGAUGGCCAACUCUCCCAAGCUUCCUCAUUGCUGUGAUGGAAGCUCCAUUGUAUUAAAAUAUUGUGUGAAUCACCGAAUACCUUGGCCUUGAGUUUUGUAUAUUAUAUAUAGAUUUUACAAGGAUGCUAUACAUGGAAAGCAAAUAAAUUCCCGCAUGAUUCUAGCUCUAUAUAUGUAAACUAUAAUUUGUCAAAUAAUGUAUGUUAACUGUACAGAAUAAUAAAUGAAGAAAUAAGGAAAAGUAUGGACAACAAAGCUGUCAUUUGACACAUUGAACUCACCUGGGCUGUUGGCAAAAUCAGUGACCGUAGGCUGAGAUGUAGGGUCAGUGAAGAGCACCUCAUAUUAAGCUGGCUAAGUGUGUCUCGCAAACAUGAAGUUGAGUUGGUCAAAGAUCAAAGGAGGGUUCGAGUAGGUUUCCAGCAACCCGAGAUACUUGAUAGAUGAGACCAUCACGACAACCCAAUUCUACACUGAAUCAAGGGCCUCCAACCUGACAGUUUUCAGAAUGAGUUUUUGGUUAAAAAAAGCGAGAUACAAUUUCAGUUACUGCUAAUGAGGUCCUGCGUCCUUACCAGGGCUACAACAUCUCUGGCAGCUAGAGCCAGAAUAUCUGCACAAGAGACUUGUGGGCACUAAAGCUAGUGGCCAGCCGUAUAGUCUCACCCGAGCGAUCCAUCCGAGCGGUAUGGUACCUGGCCGAGAUUUAUAACCCAAAAGACAGACGCUCGGGCAGCUGGACACAAUAAAUGGAACGGUUAUGCAUUUUGCGCAAGACAGGCAACUGUUACAUGUCAUAAAUAAUUGAUCAUUAUCAGUGGUCAAUGAUUGAGCGUUACACAUUAAAGCUGCAAUUAAGGACAAUUAUAAGGGCAAAAAGCAACGUUAAAGAUCACCCUCUAUAGACACCACCCGACACCAGGGGAAAGGUACCCAAAAUGAUUCCUACAAAAUCCUUGCCAAAACAUUGGGGUUUUGCUUGGACAGGAUUCGAGCACACCUUUUUUUGCUGGUCAAGAGAAGUGCAAAUUGAUUUCAAGGGAUAUAAUAUUUCUCUAGGUGUGGAUGUGUGUUCUUGAAAAUAAUUUUUGGUUCAUGGAUAGAAAUAGACUUAUUGGUGGAAAUUAAUUAAUAUUUUCAUUAUUUAUGGAGUCAUGAGUGAGUUUGAGCUUUCUUGACAAAUUGUUAAUAAUAAUUUUUUUUUUUUAAUCUAUGCAUAUGAUAAAUAGGUAAGGUUUCUCACUCUUAUUGGUUUUUUUUAUCAAUAUGAAUAAUUUUUAGCUCAAUGAUUAGAAGAUAAGUGUGUGAUUCUCAUGUUUCUCAUCAUUGUUGGAUCAUUGUGUGUUCAUUGGAAAUCAUUUUGGUGUUUUUCAUGUGGUCUUCUAUCAAAAUCAUUUUUGUGUUGGGUAUAGAUUGAUCUGCUCUGGGGUUGGAUCUAUCCAUUGUGCUGACAAUCAUUUGGCCGAGAGUCUAUGUACAAUUUGCGGAUCAAUCCAACAAGAUCAAUGUUAUGUAGUUCCAACACUUUUAGCAGUCUCUUAUAUUCAGGUUUCAGUCUUUUGGUUGAGAGCAUAUGACCGGAAUUUGGAUUGAACCACCAAGAUCAAUGUUACUCACUCCACGUUUCUCACCCUUAUGUCACAGGAUGCUUCAAAUGACCCUCCCCAUGGGCUUAUAUAGGAGGAGGGAAGCUUCUGGAGACUCUUGGAGCCAUCUACACUAAGCCAUUGGUGGGAAGAGUGUGGAAGGUUCUAGAAAUGCCUAGAGAUGUCCACACAUCUCUACACUAUGGUGGAAGACAUGAGAGGAGUCCAAGGCUUUCUAGAAGAUUCUAAAGAUCUCUUGCAUAUUCUUGUACAUAGGGUUGUACAUAGAUUAGUGUAGGGAGUUCUAGAAUAUUCUUGAUUUGUAAGGAACCCUCCAAGGUUCUAGAGAGUUCCCUUGGUGCCUAUAAAUAGGUGAGGGCCUCAUUUGGCCAAGGCACCACCCAAAUCACUUCCUAACCAAGCAAGUGAGCAUCCAAGCACUUGUAAAGGCUUCGUUGAGUAAUAAAGAGCUUCCAUUCUUUAAGGAGUUGCCUACCAAGCUUCUUAAGCUUUCGAGUCGCGAUAGCCGAGCAAGCUAAGCAUUGGGGAGCAAGGCUGACUUAGCAAGAUCAAGCGUCUUGGCUUGUCUAAGUGCCGCACGAGCUUAGUGAACGACUAAGCCUGUGACACUUAGCCGUUUUUGGGUAAUAUGUCUUUUUGAAGCUUGUGCUACUAUAUUAAGUGAGUGUUUGAGGGGUAAAAUUGCCAUUUUCAAUCUAAAAAAUCUUUUUUGAAAAAGCCAAAAUCCUGAAAUCUAAAAGCCCUAUUUUUUUUCCAAUUAAGCCCUAAUUUCAAAUCUCUCAAAGGGGUCUUUAUUUCUUCCCCUUCACUGCAAGAGCUUCCAUUGCCAAGACCAUGGGAAUUCAUUUCUAAUGAAGUCCUCCAUUAGCAUCAUUCUUAUCAGCAUAAAAAAUCUCUGAAUCAAUGCUCCAUUUGAUGUCAUUUUUUUCUUUUUUUUUUGUGGCUCAUCCGUGGGUUUCUUAGCUUAAGCCAUCUUCUCCAGCAAGUUGCUAUAUCUGGCAACUAUUUCUUGAACUGUCACUCUGACAAGGUUUUCUUUCCAACAACCCUUAGCAUUUAGUCCAUCCAUUUUUCUCUCCACUAUUAGCCUUAUUUGGAUGUUUUCUGUUUGUGGAGCCUUCUCAUUGUAGAUUUCCUAUUUGAGGUUUCAUUUUUACCUUAGAUUGUUCUUGAUUUCUAACAAUGUCAGUCCUAGGCUUUGUUUGUUCAUUGUGAGUGCUUUCUAUACAUUUGCAUGCUUGGAAUGUAUUUUUAUGGUGGUAGAGCAUUUUCUAAAAGUUUUGAAUUGAGACCCUAUGAUGGGAUUAGGGGGAGUUUCUUGUAUCUUGUGAUAGGAGUUAAGAGGAGACUCUUAUAUCCCAUUAAAUUUUUUUGGGAUGUUGAUAUGGAUGCUUAGUAAUAUGUGGAUACUUUAUUUUUGGGCAUUUAAUAUCUUGUUGACAUGUGGAUGCUUGUUGAUUUGAAUAUUUGAUAUUCUAUUAUUAAAUGGUCAUCCCUUUGUUUUUUUUUUCUUGGACAAAAAGAGGUUGAUUGUGGUUUUUGUCUCCUUCUAGGAUAAAUAAGGGAGAUGCAUUAUAUUUAAGAUUUUAGAUAUUGGACGGUGUUGAUGAUUAUUGCCAUUUUGUAUAUAUAUGUUGAUAUUGGAUAUUGGAUGGAUAUCGGAUGUUAUUGAUGAUUAUUGUUAUAUUUUUUUAAGAUACAUGUUGAUAUGUGAACUUAUCUAGUUUGGAUUUGGAUAUACAUGUGAUAAUUCUUUUGGAUAUUUUUUUUUAUAUACUUGGAUAUAUUGUAUCUAUUCAAUUGUUUCAUAUAGGUGCUACUAAUUGUUUUUGGAAGUUUAUUUGCAAGUUUUGUAGUAAUUAGGUUGUGAGAUUGAGUGGGUAAGUGAAUGGCCUUGUAUGAGAAUGGGUGAGGCUUGCUUGCUUAUUCUAUUGUGUUGUAAAGGGUUUUGUCUCAGAAUUGUCAAAGAGGGAGAUUGUGAGUGUUUAGCUAAGUUGACAAUAUUGGACAAAAUUCUUAAGUAUCUCCUAAUUCAGUUUUUUCAAAUCCUUCUUUGAACUACUUGCCUAAUGAAGAUUAAAUUGUUGAAUUUGCUAAGAGACUCAAGUAUAUAGUUGAGGUUGGAGUUUGAUGAAAUUGAAUCAAUCAUAUUUUUUUAAAUGUUGUUUUUCUUGAAUGUAAUUUUUAAGGAGUUAGGGAGGUCUAGGAAGCAUAUAAUAUAUAUAUAUAUAUAUAUAUAUAUAUAUAUAUAUUUACUAAGUAUUCAAAAUGUCUUAUUCCAAAAUUGAUCCAAUUUCAAGUUAGAUCGAUCUAGGUUGCAAUUUCUUGAUCUUAUUUCAUUCGUUGGAUUAAGGGUUUCUUUAAACUUAAAAUACAACAAUUGCUUCCUGAAAUGCGAGAAAUAAUCGUUCUCCCCUUGUGCUUUUUUUUUUCUUACAAAAAUUUAGGGUAUUUGGUUGUCAAGAAAAUCUCAUUUUCUACUUGAUUUUCAAAUUGUUUUCAACAGAUUUUCUUGAGAAAAAAUGAGUUAAUUCUUUUGUUCAUUCAUCUCUCAAUUUUUAAUCUAUUUGGAUUUGGGUGAAAACCCAUUUUCUUCUUAUGUGGAUUAAAAAAGAUGUCGAGAUCGAACUUGGUGAAGAUUCCAAGUGUGCUCCAUAAGAAGAAGGUAUGAAAUUGAAAGUGGAAAUGUGCUAGUCAAGUGAUUCGGGAAGGAUUGGUAGGUUUGAGAUAGGUAAAACCUUGCAUUCAUUUUUUAUUCUUCAUAGUGAACAUUUUCGAUCAAUUGUAGGUUCGUGAUUUUUUAUUUCUUCGAAGAUUUUUCACGUUAAAUUUUGGUGUCAUUGUCUUUUUCUCUAAUUCUACUUCUUGAUUUUAGUUUUCAUUUAUUACUUGGGCAUAAAAGUUUAAUGAAAUGAGUUGAGAUAGGUGUGAUCUUCUUUAAAUAUCUUGAAUAUUUUUUUCUUGUUAUUUUGCUAUGGACACUCAAUAGAAGUAGAAAAUUGUACUAAUGAGAAAUUGUUCUUAUGAACUGUGUUGGGAAGUGUUGUAGUAUUUACAUGUGACUUGCAUUUGAAAAUUAUUGGGAGAGUGUUGUUGUAUAUGUUGGAAAGUAUUCGACGAGAAGAACAAAUUGUGAAAAAUUUAAGGUUAAGUAAUAUAUGUUGGGGAAUGUUUUAAAUUUGUUUAAAAAAACACCUAUUCAAACCCCAUUUAAGUAUAGUAUAUCAUUGAGAUUCAUCUUCAUUUUUUAUAUCUUUAUGGAAAUUAUAUAGUAUUCACAAGCUCAUCUCUAUCUUCUAACAUUUUCUCGUCAUGACCUAAAAUAUUUAUAAAAAUAUUCUUAAAUAAUUUUCUUUAUUCUAUAAUAAAUUAUUAUAUUACAAUAAUACAUAAACUUAAACAAUAUUAUUUACGGGAUUUAUACUAAUUAGAAAUUUAUUAUACCAUCCAAAAGUUAUCAUUGAAAUCGAAAGAUAUUAAUUUAGAUUAUGAAACUUGGACUAAUAGAAAUCUUAAUUAAGAAACAAAUGGGCAAUUAUUAGUUUUUAAUUAAAUGUUAUAAUAAAAUAACAUUUGACAAAAAAGCUUAAAUUUUAUCUAUAAAUUAAAAUGAAAAUCUUAUUCUUUUUAUAAUUUAUAAAAUAAAUUUAUAAAUUAAUUAGUUGCAUCUUCUUAAAAAAAAUCUAAUUUCAAAUGAGUUAGUACUUUUAGAAAUGAUUUCUUUUGAAGAAAAAUAAUGUAUCAAUAAAACUUUUAAAAUUUUGAAAAAUCACUUAUUUAUCACUCUCGAAAAAGUACUCAGACAUGUGAUUAUCCUGAAACGAUUCUAAAGAAAGCACUUUAAUGAAAUGUAUUUCAAAUAUGAACACUCCCAAAGCCAUUAAAAAUUUAGAAGAGAUAAUGACCAAAAGGCAUUUGUAAAAUAAAAAUAUUUCCUUUUUAAGAGGAAAAAAACAAAAGUUCAAGUCUAUCUAAUGAAGUGGCUUGAAUAAGAACAAAAUGAGAGAGGCCAAGCAGAGCAGGGGAUGUUACACACUGAUCCUAUCCCAUCUUCUCCCAUUGUGAGAUCCUAUCUUGCUCUCCUCCCAAAACAUAAGUUACAAAACUACACAUUUUACCAAUAAAUAAAUAAUAGUAGCUAUUAUUAUAUUGGGGGGAAAAAAAAAGCACCACCCAAUCACCAACUGGCCCAUCUCUGUCUCAGCCUCCCUUUUUUUUUUUAUUCUUUUUUUUUUUGUGUCAAUUUGUAUAUUUCGAUAUAAAAGUCACGCUAUGUUUUGGGCUGGUGGCCCUUACUUGGAUUCAUGGAGAAGAAGCCAAAAUCACCUAUCCGCCAUCUUUUUUUCCCAUACCAAAUUGCCCUUGAAUGGCACUUCAAUAACAUCUCCGACCUUAUAUUUGAUUGGUAAUGAAAUAGCAUCAUCAUGUAAGAAAGUUUUACUCAUAAAUUUUAAAUAUUUUAAUUAUGAAUAUUAUUAAAUAUAAGAAAAAUUUUAUAUUUUUUAAUAAUAAAUAUUAAAAUAUAAUAUAAUUUUUAUUUUAAAUAAAUAUUAAAUAUUAAAAAAUAAUACAUAUUUCAUUUUAUUUUUUUAAACUAAAUAUAAGUAUAACGUAACAUAUCUCAUCAUAUAUAUUGUUUUAAAAUUUUAUUUCAUAUCUUAGAACCUCAUAUUUUUGUUAGAAAUUAUAUUAUAAUAUAUGUAUUUUCUAUUAAGCGGGAUAUGAUAUGAUGAGAUAUACAUAUCCUUUAAGAUAUCAUGUCUUAUCCUAUUAAUCAAAAUAUGUCAUAUUUGGUUAGUUGAAUAUAGUAUGAGAAAUGAUAAGGGGACGACACAUCAUAUCUUAUGUUUAGUUGAUAAUGGUAUAAAAGAAGUUAUUUUAUUACUUAUCCUAUUUUAUAUUCAACUAACUAUGAAUGAAAAAUAAAUGAUAAGAUAUAUUAUUCAUCAUUUUUUAUAUUUAUUUUACAUGAAAAAUAUAUUAUUCUUAAGCUAAGAUACAAGACAUAUAUAUAUAUCUCAUAUUUCUUAUUUUUUAAAAUCAAAAUUUAUUAUUUUUUUCUAUUAUUUAUUUAAUAAAAUAAAAAAACUGAUUAAAAAUUAAAAAUAAUACUUAUUUUUAUAUAUUAAAUAACAUAAUAUAAAAAAAUUAUUUAUAAAUUAUAAAUAUUUAUUUUAAACAAAUGUCAAACAUUAAAAAAUAAUAUUUGUUUUAUUUCAUUUUGUUAUAUAUUUUACAAAUUAAAUAUAAGGGUAACAUAACAUAAAUAAUGAUUUUAAGAGCCAUUUAUUUAAAAAAAAUUAAUAUGUGCAAAAUCUUUUUCCCUUAAAUUUCAAAAUUUUAUCUUUUGCUUGCUAUAAUACAAGUGGAAAAUUUUCUCAUUCAAGAUAAGUUAAUCAAUUCAAAGUCUCCACUAAACUUUUUUUUUCUUUUCAAUUUAGCGUAUACAUGAAAACUUUUGAUCUAGACAAAUUUGGUAAUACAAAUGAAACACGUUUUUAUUUUAUUUUAUUUUUUUUCUUUUUCUUUUCCUUUUUUUUAAAAGUGGGGUUCAUUGAUUUUGAUGGGAAAGAGAGAGAAAGAAAAGGAUUGUAUGUGUGACAUUUCAAAGAUUCUCUGAAUUGAUAUGAUUAGUAAGAGAGAAUGCUAUCACGUUAACAAUAGUGAGAGGUUUCUUUUGUACGAAAUAUUGGAAGUUUACAAAAUAUAUUGAAUUUUAUAAAAAUAAAAAAAUAAAAAAACCUAAAGAAAAUUAAAAAAAAAAGAUUGGAAGGAAAGCAUUUUUAAAAAAAUAAUUUUAUAUGAAAUUUUAAUAAAGAAUAAAACAUUAUUAAUACAUAUAUUAAUAAUUUAUUAUGAAUAGAAAAUUUAUGAAUUUUUUUAUGAUCUAUAUUUAAAAUUGUAUGGCAUUUGUUUGGGUGUAAUAAUUAAUAGGUUAUAUUUGGAUCCCAUCAAAAAAUUAAGAAAAUAAAAAAAUAUUUUUUAUAUUUGAUUUUAUCAUAAAAAUAUGAAAAAAAAUGGAAUAUAGUUAAAAUUAAUGAAAAUUUUAUAUAUUUUAAAUUAUUUAAUCUUAAAAUAUGAAAGAAUUAAAUAAGUGAAAAAAAAAAGAAUUUAUUGAAAUUAAAUCUAUUUUUUACUUUUUUUUUUUUUUUUUUUUUUGACAUUUUCCCUCAAAUUAUGGACAACCAAACAUAUGCCAAUAAUUAGAAUAAAUUUUAAAAAAUAAAUUAUGGAACAUCUCCAAAAUGAUAAGAGGGAAAAGGAUAGAAGUUGACAACACGUUUGGAUGAAAAAGAAAAAUGGAAAUAAUUAUGUUUUGUACUAGAAGUGUUUGAAUGUGUUUCUCUUUGGGUAUUUUCUCAAAAGCAAAUGCAGUGAAAAAGAAAAAAAAAUUUAGUUUGAAAAUAUUUAAUAACUUUUAAUUAAAAAUAAUUUUUGAAAAUUUGUUGAUAACUUUUCCAUUAUACCAUACAUGAGAAUAUACUAAAAAUAAUUAUUUUUUAUAUUUGUAUUUUCAAGUAAAACUUUAUUUCUCUGAAUGUAAUUGAUAACCAUUUUUAAAAAUUAUUUCUAAAAACCUUUUUAUUUUUUAGAAAUAUUUUUGAACACUUUACCAAAUAAAACCUACAUCCUUUAUUUAUUUUUAAUCAAAAUUAAAAUAUAUUUUAUUUUUUUAAUAAAUAUGAAUUAUAGUUCUGUCUGCUUGAAAGAAUUUUAUAGAAAAAAUAAUUUUUUUUAUUUAAAUUAUACAUUUUUUGGAUUUUUAAAUUUAACCAUGAUGUGUUUAAAAUAGAAAAAAAUUGUUACAAUAUGAACGAAAUUUUAUUUUGAGAUAAAAAAGAAACUGAAUAACAAAUCAUGGGUAGAAAGCUGCAGAAAUCUACCUAAAAACAGCAGGCUUGUUUGGAACCAUUGAAUUCGUAAAGCCGUGUCUACUCUUUGGGCAUUAAUAAAUGGAGGAGAAUUUAUCAAACAAUGGCAUUUCUGUAACUAUUAGGAAAUACCAUGGGAGUUUUCAUCCUCUCCAGUUUCAUAUAGGAUACAGGCGACGAUACUCCACGCCACCAACUCAUCAGUCAUCAGACUCAUCACUGUCAUCACUCUUCUCUCAGCCUUUCGCCCCACCUCUUUCUUUCUUUCUUUCUUUUUUUUUUUUUCCUUUCAUAAUUGAAAAAGUGACCAGAAAGCUUCCAUAAAAUAUUCAGCUCUUUGGGUCUUUGAGCUUCUCAGAUCUCUAAGCCUACUUGAGAGAAAGUUUACAAACAGGGGAACGGCUUGUUUGGAUGAGAUGAUUCGAUUACCAGAGAGGUUUAGAGCGUUUUUAAACAACAGAUGGCUGGUAUUUGUGGCCGCAAUGUGGAUACAGUCGUGUGCCGGAAUUGGGUACUUGUUUGGGAGUUUAUCGCCGGUGAUGAAGAGCUCUCUCAAUUACAAUCAGAGGCAGAUUGCAAAGUUGGGUGUGGCUAAGGAUAUUGGAGACAGUAUUGGGUUUUGGAUUGGGAGCCUGUGUGAGAUUUUGCCUCUGUGGGCUGUUCUGCUCGUUGGUGCUUUGCAGAAUUUUAUUGGGUAUGGGUGGGUUUGGUUGAUUGUCACUCAUCGAGUUCCAACACUGCCUUUGUGGGCUGUGAGUAUCGUUUAUCAAAUACUUUUCCCUUUUCUCUCCCUUUUCGAUUUCACGUGAUCCAUCGCCUAAAGUAGCUGUGCUUUUUUGUUUCUUCUUUCUUUUGGUUUUUGUUUGAUGUCUGUUUUCUUCUAGUUACACAUAAUGAUCUGGGUCUUUUUGUUAAACUUUGCAAGAUGCACUGAGUAUCUCAAACUAAGUUCAAAUGAUCACUCUUUAGAUUUCUGGAGCACAGUUCAAUCCUUUUUUUGUUUGAUAGAGCAGUGCUCAGUUUAAUUUGUCAAUCGGAUAUUCUCUUGCAAGAAUAAUUGUUAUUCUCUACUUUUCGGAAAAGUUUCUGGAUUUUAGCAUCCAGAGUCCUGCAAUUGAUAGUGGGUUGUUUUAUUGUAUUACCCUUCUGCAUAUUCUGUUUUUCUUUUACUUUUCCUUUGUUCUUUACCUAUAGGGAUCCUUUUAAGAUUCUGGAAUUGAUUUUAGCUGCAUUAUUUCCUUGAUUGAGCAAAGGAGUUAAUUUUAUUAUUUUUGAUAUUCAGUCUUCUUUAGAUUAAAUUUUUGAAAUCUUAUUUACUUUCCAAAUUUGAGUAGGGGUUUCUGUUUUAUUUUAUUUUAUUUUUCUAAUUUUGCUUUAUAUCGUAGUUGGUCCUUUCCAUUUGAGUUGAGACUUGCAUUUCUGCUGGUGAAACAGCAUUAUCCUUCUGUGCAUGAUAAGAAAUUACAUUGAAGAUGGUUAAUAAAUAAAUUUGGCAGAUAUUUAUGCUUCAGAUAUCCAACAAUCUAAGGGCUAAGGUGCUUGUGAUUGAUUUCAGAUGGAUGAAUUGGUUGUUCUACUGGGCUCCACUACUCCCUUGGGAUUGGUCAUGAAUCACAUUUCAAAGAUCUAAGGGCAAUCCAUUUCACAAGAUCUUUGAUGCUUUUGACAAUGUGGUUGAGAAGUUUGGCUUUGCAAAUGAUCUGAUACAUGAAUCAAAUUUUACCUUUGAAAUGUUUGUGUCAUCGUUUUUUUUCUCAUUACAGUUCUGGAGUCAGAUAUUUGUUCCUUGUGUUUUGUAUUGCUCUCCAAAGUACAACCUUUUUUGUUUUCACUAAACUUCAAAUUAUGUUCUAAUUUUUGGUUUACAUGGAUUGCCCUAGUGAGCUAUAUGUCCCUUUACUCCUUUAUCGGUAUAUUUGCUUCUUCAAAUUAUGCAUUUACCCUGGCUUUUAUUUCACCAGAAUUUACCAAUACAAUCAGUACAAUAAGAUAAUAGUGAAAUAUACUUAAAAUUCAGCACUAACAUAUUAUGAUUGAAAUAUAUUAGCCCUAGUGUACAUUGUUUGCUUUUGGGUUAGAUUGAUAGCCUAACAUGGUAUUAGAGCUUUGAUUAAUUAAAGGUCUCGAGUUUGAGUCUCUAUGUUUGUUUAUUCCCACACCUGUUUAUUUGCAAUUCGUAAUAUGUGAUUUGCUUCUCCAUGUGUGGGUAUGAGGCCCAGUAAACCAACUCUCAAUGCAAUUUAUUAUAUGGUUCCAACUUGUCUUAUUUUGGGCAUUAAUCAUUGGCUGAGCUGUAGUUAUCAUAUGAGUCAUGCACUGAAAAGCUUCUGAAACUUUGUGUUCCAGACAAUGUUAGAUUUAAGCUGGUCAAAUGGAUCCUUAAGUUGAAAGUAAUAUGCUAAAUUUGACUACUUGUAGCCUUAUGAGGAGACUUUUUAAUCUUGCAUCCCUUCUUGCUGUGGUUAAAUUGUUAAUGGAUAUCAAAAUGCAGAUAUGCAUUCUUAUAUUUGUGGGAACAAAUGGUGAGACCUACUUCAAUACGGUGGAUCUGGUUUCCUGUGUGCAAAAUUUCCCAAAGAGCCGGGGGCCUGUGGUUGGAAUAUUAAAAGGCUUUGCUGGGUUGAGUGGCGCCAUUUUGACACAGAUAUAUACCAUGAUCCAUUCCCCUGAUCACGCAUCCCUCGUAUUCAUGGUUGCAGUGGGUCCAAUAAUGGUAGUUUUUGCCCUAAUGUUCAUUGUUAGGCCUGUUGGAGGUCACAGACAAGUCCGGCCAACUGAUGACUUAAGUUUCACAUUCAUCUAUGGUGUCUGCCUCCUUUUGGCUGCUUAUUUGAUGGGGGUCAUGCUUGUCCAAGAUCUAGUUCACUUAAGCCACACAGUGGUCACAAUUUUUACAGCAAUUUUGUUUGUCCUCAUUUUAGCACCAAUUGUGAUUCCUGUGUCACUGAGUUUUUUCUCAGAGCCAAAAGCUCCUGAAGCAGAGGCUCUUCUAACAGAGCCACAGAAAGACGAACCUGGCAAGUCCGAACAGGAUGCAACUGAGGUUAUAUUUAGUGAGGUGGAAGAUGAGAAGCCUAAGGAAGUAGACUUGCUUCCAGCAUCAGAAAGGCAAAAACGAAUUGCCCAUUUGCAAGCAAAACUGUUCCAAGCAGCUGCAGAAGGAGCUGUGAGGGUCAAGAGGAGGAGGGGGCCGCAUAGAGGGGAGGAC